rnacentral:rRNA from 1 species
UACGGGGGGAGCAAGCGUUGUUCGGAUUUACUGGGCGUAAAGGGCGCGUAGGUGGCGCGACAAGUCGGUGGUGAAAGUUCGACGCUCAACGUCGAAUCGGCCACCGAUACUGUUGGGCUUGAGCACUGUAGAGGCUAAUGGAAUUCCGGGUGUAGCGGUGGAAUGCGUAGAGAUCCGGAAGAACACCGGUGGCGAAGGCGGUUAGCUGGGCAGUUGCUGACACUGAGGCGCGACAGCGUGGGGAGCAAACAGG